AGUUUGAUUAUGGCUCAGGAUGAACGUUGGCGGUGUGCCUAAUACAUGCAAGUCGAACGGAGUUAAUAGCAAUAUUGACUUAGUGGCGAACGGGUGAGUAGCGCGUUGGUGAUCUGCCUCGAAGUGUGGAAUAACGUUCCGAAAGGAUCGCUAAUACCGCAUGUGCUCUCGAUUUUUAGAAAGUUGAGAGUAAAGGAUUUAUUCGCUUCGAGAGGAGCCUGCGUCCCAUCAGCUGGUUGGUAGGGUAACGGCCUACCAAGGCUAUGACGGGUAGGGGACCUGAGAGGGUGGCCCCCCACAAUGGAACUGAAACACGGUCCAUACACCUACGGGUGGCAGCAGUAGGGAAUAUUAGAAAUGGACGAAAGUCUGAUCUAGCAACACCGCGUGUGCGAAGAAGGCCUUCGGGUCGUAAAGCACUUUUUGGAAGGAAUAGGAAGGAAUGUACUUCCAGAAUAAGUCUCGGCUAACUACGUGCCAGCAGCCGCGGUAACACGUAGGAGGCAAACGUUAUCCGGAUUUACUGGGCGUAAAGCGCGUGUAGGUGGUACUGUAAGUAGGGCGUGAAAGCUCCCGGCUCAACUGGGAGAGGCCGUUCUAAACUGCGGAACUAGAGGAUGGUAGAGGGAGGUGGAAUUCCAGGUGUAGCGGUGGAAUGCGCAGAUAUCUGGAGGAACACCGGUGGCGAAGGCGGCCUCCUGGACCAUUCCUGACACUCAGACGCGAAAGCUAGGGUAGCAAACGGGAUUAGAGACCCCGGUAGUCCUAGCCCUAAACGAUGUAGACUAGGCGUCGGUGGUUUAAUCACCAUCGGUGUCCAAGCUAACGCGAUAAGUCUACCGCCUGGGGACUACGGCCGCAAGGUUAAAACUCAAAGGAAUUGACGGGUCCCCGCACAAGCAGCGGAGCGUGUGGUUUAAUUCGUUGCUACACGAAGAACCUUACCUGGGUUUGACAUAGCAGUGGAGGGAAGCGAAAGCGGACCGCCCUUCGGGGAGCUGUUACAGGUGUUGCAUGGCUGUCGUCAGCUCGUGUCGUGAGAUGUUCGGUUAAGUCCGCUAACGAGCGCAACCCGCGUUGUGUGUUACAAGUGUCACACAAUACCGCCGGUAUUAAGUCGGAGGAAGGUGCGGAUGACGUCAAGUCAGCAUGACCUUUAUAUCCAGGGCUACACACACGCUACAAUGGUCGGCACAAUAGGUUGCCAAGUCGUGAGACGGAGCCAAUCCUCCAAAGCCGGCCUCAGUUCAGAUUGCAGGCUGCAACUCGCCUGCAUGAAGUUGGAGUUGCUAGUAAACGCAGGUCAGCUAUAUUGCGUUGAAUACGUUCCCGGG
rnacentral:rRNA from 1 species